rnacentral:rRNA from 1 species
AAUAGUACCCGGUAGUCCACGCUGUAAACGUUGGGCGCUAGGUGUGGGGUCUUCCACGAUCUCCGUGCCGGAGCUAACGCAUUAAGCGCCCCGCCUGGGGAGUACGGCCGCAAGGCUAAAACUCAAAGGGAAUUGACGGGGCCCGCACAAGCGGCGGAGCAUGUUGCUUAAUUCGACGCAACGCGAAGAACCUUACCAAGGUUUGACAUCACCCGGACCGGUCUAGAGAUAGAUCUUCCCUUUUGGGCUGGGUGACAGGUGGUGCAUGGCUGUCGUCAGCUCGUGUCGUGAGAUGUUGGGUUAAGUCCCGCAACGAGCGCAACCCUUGCUCCAUGUUGCCAGCAGGCGCUUCGGCGUGCUGGGGACUCAUGGGGGACUGCCGGGGUCAACUCGGAGGAAGGUGGGGAUGACGUCAAGUCAUCAUGCCCCUUAUGUCUUGGGCUGCAAACAUGCUACAAUGGCCGGUACAGAGGGCUGCGAUACCGUGAGGUGGAGCGAAUCCCUAAAAGCCGGUCUCAGUUCGGAUUGGGGUCUG